rnacentral:Y_RNA from 1 species
GGCUGGCCUGAAGGCACUGAGUUCUCACUAUUGGCUGCUUCUGGUCAGUGACCCCUCAACCCACUCUUACACCUUCCCACUACUGCACGUGAAUGGUCUCUA